UGUAUUGCACGCAUUGCUUUGGGACUUGUUUCAGCUGUGAUUGGCCCACCCGAUAUCAUGUGAUGCUUACACGUCACACAUCGGGUUAGGACAGCCUAUUUAAACGGCAUUUUGCUGCACACUCAGUGCAGAAUGCCGCAGGGUCAUAUGUUCAGUGAGCACUCUUGUCCUUAAUGCUUUGCAGUUCCCCUCCUGGAUCAAGCAGCUGAUUUCUUCUGGCUUUAUACACACUAAGCUUAUUGUGACUUUGCAACACUGCCUGCGAUCCUUAUAUAGAUCUUAUACAGAUAUUUUGGGAAAUCUACAUGAUUCCUUCCUUGAAUUAACACUGCAGCUGGAUUGCUCAUUGAUGUCCCUGGUCUUUAACCCCAUAAACCGUUAUAUAUGAUCAUGCACAUGACCAUUUUCACCUCGGCGGUUUUCUGUGUUUGUCGCUAGUUGUGGGCAACUCGUGGUUGCAUAUUUUGACUGGAUAUCGCUCCCUCCCCUGAAGAAGCGGAAGUCCGCGAAACAUGUAGGGUCCAUGCGAUUUCCUUUU